CACGUAGGGGGCAAGCGUUGUCCGGAUUCAUUGGGCGUAAAGAGCUCGUAGGCGGUUCGAUAAGUCGGGUGUGAAACCUCCAGGCUCAACCUGGAGACGCCACCCGAUACUGUCGUGACUAGAGUCCAGUAGGGGAGCGUGGAAUUCCUGGUGUAGCGGUGAGAUGCGCAGAUAUCAGGAAGAACACCCGUGGCUAAGGCGGUUCUCUAGUACGGUACUGACGCUGAGACGCGAAAGCGUGGGGAGCGAACAGG
rnacentral:rRNA from 1 species